UUCUAAAGACGUGUUUCGGAAGACGUCUUUUGUUGAAAACACUAAUAUCAUAAUGCAGCAUAUCAAAUCAUUUCGAGGACGAUCUUCUCAUUACGCUCGAACAAAAUCUACUAGACUUUACCUUCCAGAAGACUUGAACAUUUUUAAAAUGUACUGCAUGUUAAAAGGAAACUUUAAUAUCCCAUUAGAGAUCAUUUGUACAUGGAAUGUGACAGAGAUAUGGCUAUUAUUAAUCAAAAGUUUCCAGCAGAAAUACGAGAAGACUGGAGGAGUGUUUUUCAGGCAUCUCAAAAAAUACUAGAGCCAUUCAACAUUAUAUACAUGACGCAAGAAAAGUUUUUGAAGAUUACAGAGUUUUUUUAGAUAUACUUUUUAGUUGUUUGCCUGUUUAAGUCACGUCCUAUCAGAGAAGUUGAAAUAUCAAAGGCUCAUUCUAACCUAAUUAUGUAUAGGGAAAACUGGAGCGGUAUGUUUAGUCUUAUGCGUGUCACAUCUUUUAGGUCAUUAUCAUGUUCUCGUUCAAUAAGAGGGAAAAGAUUGACCAGAUCUAAACAUGUCUUUGAAGUGCCUGAUAAGCUGAAACAAUCAUAUAUAGACCUGUUGCCACUUUCUUGUGAAAAAUUUAAAGACUUACUAAAACUAAAAAGUUUGUUAGUGAACAAAUAAGUCUUUCUGUGAUCAGUUGCCAGUUGAUAACCUACUUGCCCAGGAUUCUGAACCAGAGCAAAUUUCUGACUCAGGGUGAGUCUGUUAAUCUACAGAUGAUUGCUUAUUUAUUUGCAACUGUUAUUAGCAAUUAGGAAGAUAAGAAAAAGACUCAAGCAAUCCAUACAGCACAAAUUCAAUCAAUUUGUCGGAAAUAUUGAUUUAAAUGAUCAUAUCUCAGAUCAUCUAGAAGGUAUUCCAUUACCAGCUAAGUCAAUGGAAGAAAUAGAUAUUGUAACACAGAAGCUGGAAAAUCCCGGAAUAAAGAAAAUAGUUUUAAAAAUAAUUACUUACAAAAUUUUUUUAAAUAUA